GACGAACGCUGGCGGCGUGCUUAACACAUGCAAGUCGAACGGAAAGGCCCUGCUUUUGUGGGGUGCUCGAGUGGCGAACGGGUGAGUAACACGUGAGUAACCUGCCCUUGACUUUGGGAUGACUUCAGGAAACUGGGGCUAAUACCGGAUAGGAGCUCAUGCUGCAUGGUGGGGGUUGGAUAGUCUGGGCGGGUGCGGCUGGACUCGCGGGUUAUGAGCUGGUUGGUGGGGUAGUGGAUUACCAAGGGUGGGACGGGUAGCCGGCCGGAGAGGGUGAACGGCCACAUUGGGACUGAGGUACGGCCCAGACUCCUACGGUAGGCAGCAGUGGGGAAUAUUGCACAAUGGGCGGAAGCCUGAUGCAGCAACGCCGCGUGCGGGAUGACCGCCUUCGGGUUGUAAACCGCUUUCGCCUGUGACGAAGCGUGAGUGACGGUAAUGGGUAAAGAAGCACCGGCUAACUACGUG
rnacentral:rRNA from 1 species